AUUGAACGCUGGCGGCAUGCUUUACACAUGCAAGUCGAACGGCAGCGCGGGCUUCGGCCUGGCGGCGAGUGGCGAACGGGUGAGUAAUGCAUCGGAACGUGCCCAGUAGUGGGGGAUAGCCCGGCGAAAGCCGGAUUAAUACCGCAUACGACCUGAGGGUGAAAGCGGGGGACCGAAAGGCCUCGCGCUAUUGGAGCGGCCGAUGUCGGAUUAGCUAGUUGGUGGGGUAAAGGCUUACCAAGGCGACGAUCCGUAGCUGGUCUGAGAGGACGACCAGCCAGCCGGGAAGAUGUAGGAGGACGGGACGCCUACGGGAGGCAGCAGUGGGGAAGGGGGGACGAUGGGCGUAAGCUUGAUACAGCAAUGCGGCGGGUGGGAAGAAGGUAUGCGGAGUGUAAAGGGGGGGAGGGUGGGAGGAAGGGAAGUAAGCUAAUACCGGGCGGGGGUGACGUGACCAAAAGAAUAAGCACGGGCUAACUUCGUG
rnacentral:rRNA from 1 species